CGAAAGCGUGGGGAGCAAACAGGAUUAGAUACCCCGGUAGUCCACGCCCUAAACGAUGUCAACUAGGUGUUGGGUGGGUAAAACCAUUUAGUACCGUAGCUAACGCGUGAAGUUGACCGCCUGGGGAGUACGGCCGCAAGGUUAAAACUCAAAGGAAUUGACGGGGACCCGCACAAGCGGUGGAUGAUGUGGAUUAAUUCGAUGCAACGCGAAAAACCUUACCUACCCUUGACAUGUCCAGGAGCCUGAAGAGAUUUAGGUGUGCCCGAAAGGGAGCUGGAACACAGGUGCUGCAUGGCUGUCGUCAGCUCGUGUCGUGAGAUGUUGGGUUAAGUCCCGCAACGAGCGCAACCCUUGUCGUUAAUUGCCAUCAUUCAGUUGGGCACUUUAACGAGACUGCCGGUGACAAACCGGAGGAAGGUGGGGAUGACGUCAAGUCCUCAUGGCCCUUAUGGGUAGGGCUUCACACGUCAUACAAUGGUCGGUACAGAGGGUUGCCAAGCCGCGAGGUGGAGCCAAUCCCAGAAAGCCGAUCGUAGUCCGGAUCGUAGGCUGCAACUCGCCUGCGUGAAGUCGGAAUCGCUAGUAAUCGCGGAUCAGCAUGUCGCGGUGAAUACGUUCCCGGGUCUUGUACACACCGCCCGUCACACCAUGGGAGCGGGUUCCGCCAGAAGUAGGUAGCCUAACCGCAAGGAGGGCGCUUACCACGGCGGGGUUCGUGACUGGGGUGAAGUCGUAACAAGGUAACCA
rnacentral:rRNA from 1 species